UGGCCUAUAAAUACUCCGUACGACGCCGAAGGCCUCUUCAUCUCGAGUCCAACCUUUCUCCUCGCUUCCUGCAGACAGAUAGACGCGAUGGCUUCACUGAAGAUUCACGCUCUCCUCUUUGCUUAUGCUUUGCUUGCGAUUCUCUUGCACCCUUGUCUUUGCCAAGACAUCGCAACCUCGACGAUGACCAGCUCAAGGAAGUUUGAUGGGAAGGCCAUCGAUCAAGGAAUUGCUUAUGUCUUGAUGCUUCUGGCGCUCUUCGUUACCUACCUCGUCCAUUGAGCUUCUUCGCUCGUAGCAGUGCAAUUGUUUGGAUGGAGAGACCCUUCAAAUAUUCUGUAAUUUGAUCCCUUUUAUCUUCUCUUCUCUUGGUAAUUCUUCCA